CCUACGGGAGGCAGCAGUGGGGAAUAUUGCACAAUGGGCGCAAGCCUGAUGCAGCGACGCCGCGUGAGGGAUGACGGCCUUCGGGUUGUAAACCUCUUUCAGUAGGGAAGAAGCGAAAGUGACGGUACCUGCAGAAGAAGCGCCGGCUAACUACGUGCCAGCAGCCGCGGUAAUACGUAGGGCGCAAGCGUUAUCCGGAAUUAUUGGGCGUAAAGAGCUCGUAGGCGGUUUGUCGCGUCUGCCGUGAAAGUCCGGGGCUCAACUCCGGAUCUGCGGUGGGUACGGGCAGACUAGAGUGAUGUAGGGGAGACUGGAAUUCCUGGUGUAGCGGUGAAAUGCGCAGAUAUCAGGAGGAACACCGAUGGCGAAGGCAGGUCUCUGGGCAUUAACUGACGCUGAGGAGCGAAAGCAUGGGGAGCGAACAGGAUUAGAUACCCUGGUAGUCCAUGCCGUAAACGUUGGGCACUAGGUGUGGGGGACAUUCCACGUUUUCCGCGCCGUAGCUAACGCAUUAAGUGCCCCGCCUGGGGAGUACGGCCGCAAGGCUAAACUCAAGGAUUGACGGCUGNGAGNGCGACGACGACGACGAGGAGAGG
rnacentral:rRNA from 1 species